UUUCCGUUCUUGUGUUCUUGCGAACUCGUUUGACGUCAUCUUUUAUUGCCCAAGUACGGUUCCAAUCCAAAGAACUAGGGAUGGGAAGAUAUACCAAUUCGCAUCGAUGCAUCAGCAUUAAAGCUCAGGAUGCGAUGGCCCGGAUCAAAAAAGUGUGCACCGGAUACAAUGUGGGAUGAAAUCCCGAUGCAUCGUUUCUGACAUCUUUCCAUCGUUUCUAACAUCUUUGCAUCGGUAUAAUACUAUGUAUUUAUAUAGAAUUAUGUGUAUGCGAACACCUUUAGUAUUUAGAAAUUUGACCAAUGAUUUGUGACCAAUAAUGUUAUAUUUAGAUAGUUUCUUAAGCACGCUCUUAUCUCCACUGCUGUCAGUGGCCGAUUCUCGUGAAGUCUCUCUGCAAAGUUUCGCGCGAGUUGCAGGCGUGUUCGGGCGAGUGUUAUCAUGGCGGAGGAAGAGUUACACGUUCCUACAAAUUGCAAUAAAUCCAAGGUUUGGUCCUCCAUACAAGACUGCAUGUUCUAUGCUGUACAGAAGUUAUUUCCUGGCAAAACUCAUUCUGAGUUUUCUGACACCGUAAAGCGCUGGCUGCGGUAUGCGCCAGAGCGAGACGGGGGGAAAGGACGAAAACGCGCUGGAGAGACAAAUUAAACAUGGGUCUACUUAAAUAAAGUCGACAUUCUAUUGAAUAUCAAA